rnacentral:lncRNA from 1 species
GUCAGAGGCGUGAAUUGAUUUUCACUUUUGUGCAAGUUUGCUGUCAACUUUUGUUUUUCGGUGUCGCACUUAGAGGCAUUCGUAAAUCAAAUUCUGAAAGAAAUUUUUGUUUCAACAAAGAUACGAGGCUUUCGAAGGUCAAUUCACGAAGCAAAUGUAUAGUGGAGCAAAGAAUUAUACGGUUCAAGGUAAGUGACUUGUCUAACCUUGUGGGGGGGAAGUUCCCCUAGGAUUGGUAUUGUCAUGAAAAUUUUGAUGUGUUGAAAGUCGUGUAUGCGAGGUGACGGGUGUAUACACGGGUUAAAUAUAGAAAAACUUUAGUUUUAAGUUGUGUAGAUCUCUGUUACAUAUUAAUUAAAUUAUUUUAUCUGGUAAUAUUCAGCAUCAUUGGUCUAUUUAUAUAUUUUAAAAUUUGUCUUACAUGUUUCCUGCUAAUUGUUUUACUUGUUUAGUUGAAACUUUAUUUACUUUAUUCUGUGCUCAUUAUUUGAAAGUUGAAUUUCCUAAUUGAAUUAUUAUUAAUAUGAAGUAUUUGAUAUUUAAAUUUGGUAUUUGAAGUAAAGUGUUUUAUUGUGAAAUAUUGCUUUGUUGAGUUAUCCACUCCCGAAUAUUUUGUUGAGAUUUGUAUUCAUGGUGAUUGAGCCUUGAGCUCCUUGUUGUGAAAAUUUAUGUUGUUGUUGAUUUAUUUUGGCAAGUUGAGAUAUUUGGGCACUUGAGGUGCAAAUUAUAAUACAUUGUGAUAUUGAUACGCAUGCGGUGGUAUAAGGUCUGGGUGUUGAAACGCAUGCGGUGAGAGAAGGGUGGCUUGAUACGCGUGGCUAGUAGGGGAACUACUAGAAGUCAUGCAGUGUGAUAAGGGUAGCUAAAAUGCGGGAUGCCAUUUCGGAAAAAAUAAUUUCUUUAAAAUUUAAUGUGAACGCUCUCGCGGUGAUAUAAGAAAAUGAAAUAUUAUGAAUUUUUUUAUGAUUUGGGACUCCGAGGCGAUACCUCAGGAGUGCCCUUGUUGAUAUUUCUUCGUGGCUGCAUUUGCCUUUGGUUAUUUUGUAUUUUUUCUUAAAGUUGUAAAUUUCUGUUUUUCUUCCGCGAGAUAUUAUUUUCUCUUAUUCUGUGUAGUUAAAUUGUGACAUAUUACUUACUUGAUUCAUUCCCAUUAUUAUUUUUAUUAUUAUAUUGUUAAACUUUUCACCAUGUCUUUUAUUAUUUCCAGUAGGGCCUGACCUAACCUUGUCACUACUCUACCGAGGUUAGGCUUGGCACUUACUGGGUACCGCUGUGGUGUACUCAUACUAUGCUUCUGCACAUCUUUUUGUGCAGAUCUACGUACUUGCUAUCAGACCGGGCAUCAGUGAACUUGCCGUACGCGGAGACUUCAAGGUAUAUCUGUCAGCGUCCCCAGACCUCGGAGUCCCCUUCUAUCAUUAUUAUGUUGCUUUCCAUAUUCUCUUUAGAAUCUGAUGUAUAGAGACCCUUAGAAUAAAUUCUUAGAAACUUGUGACUUAUUUAGCGGGUUUGAAGAGUUAUAAUUAUUUGAAUUGCAG